AUUCAGGUUUUACCUGUUUUGAGGUGUAGCGUAUGGGAGCGGAUGACUCUGAGAUUGCCUACCCGAAAUGCCAUUGAAAAGGAUACCUAAAUGAAUGAAAAGUGCUUGAACGGUUAUGUCAAACGUAGCUGUCCGCAUAAAUAUAAUAUGUCCAAAGAAAGUAUAAGACUUGUACGGGAGGCGAUGUUAGGAGUUCACCCGUUCUCGGGAGUCAGGUUGCYUGAUAUAGCAGCCCAAAGAGGGUGAUACACUUCAUCUAAGGCUAAAUAUUGCUGCGAUACCGAUAGCAUACAAGUACCGUGAGGGAAAGUUGCAAAGAACUUUGAAGAGAGAGUUCAAGAGAACGUGAAACCGCUGAAACGGAAGCGUAUGGUGUUGACUCAAGUAGGCGCAAGAUUAUUUUUGAUACUCUUGAUGCUGAAAGCGCCGAGAGCUCGCUUAGCGCGCAAUGAAACACCUCUCCCUUCGGGGGCAUUUGCGAAGGUCUUCUUUGCUUAGGAGGUGGAGUAAGAGCGUCGCGGCUUCUUGCAUCUCGGUGUAAAGGUCGACGGCCCAUCCGUCCCGUCUUGAAACACGGACCAAGAAGUCUAGCACAUGCGCGAGUCAAUGGGUGUUAAACCUAGAGGCGUAGCGAAAUCAAAGCAUAUGGGAUCCGUUGCCGUUCGCGGUGGCGGCGCACCAUAGCCCCUUGUGCUUUUGCGCAAGGAGGAAGAGCGUAUGUGCUAGGACCCGAAAGAUGGUGAACUAUGCGUGUACAGGGUGAAGCCGUGAGUGCCGGUGGAAGCUCGAAGUGAUUUUGACGUGCAAAUCGAUCGUCUGAUGUGCGUGUAGGGGCGAAAGACUAAUCGAACCAUCUAGUAGCUGGUUCCCUCCGAAGUUUCCCUCAGGAUAGCAGGAGCUUGUGUUUUCAGUUGUGUCAGGUAAAGCUGACGAUUGGAGGAUUUAGCGUGAACAAACGUGAACCUACUCUCGAAAUAGUAAUUGAUAGCAAUCUCGAUGGGUUAUACAUCGAAUCGUUGAGCGCCAGCAAUGGCGUUUAAUGAAGGCUCCUAGUGGGCCGUUUUUGGUAAGCAGAACCGGUGCAGUGGGAUCAACCAAACGUCGGGUUAAAGUGCCUAACUUCUCGCUCAUGAGACCCCUUUAAAGGUGUUAGUUGAUAUAGACAGCAGGACGGUGGCCAUGGAAGUCGGACAUCCGCUAAGGAGUGUGUAACAACUCACCUGCCGAAUCAACUAGCCCUGAAAAUGGAUGGCGCUUGAGCGAGAGACUUUUUCCUGACCGUUAUCAGCCUGAGCGUUGUCCAGCGCCUUGCUGUAACGAGUAGGAGGGCCGCGGUGGUUGCUGCGAAGGCGUGGACGUGAGUCCAGCUGGAGCUUCCAUUGGCGCAGAUCUUGGUGGUAGUAGCAAAUACUCAAGAAAAAUCCUUGAUGACUGAAGUGGAGAAGGGUUCCACGUGAACAGUAGUUGAACGCGGGUCAGUCGAUCCUAAGAGAAGGGCAAUAGCCUAGCGAGGUUGGUUACCUCAAUUAUCGAAAGGGAAACAUGUUAAUAUUCAUGUACCUGGAUACGGAGAUACACAGCCAGCAAUGGUUGUCAAGUGCGGUAACGCAAACGAACUCGGUGACGCUGAGUUGAGCCCGAGCCAGAGCUUUCUUCUCUGGUUUAGGAACGGACUCCCUGGAGACGGUUCAGCCGAAGAUAGGGACGUUGUUUCCGUAAAGCACCGCGGUCUAUGUGGUGUCUCGUGCGCUCGGCUCGGCCCUUGAAAAGCCGGGGGAGACAUGUAAAUCUCGUACCAGAUCGUACCAAUAUCCGCAGCAGGUCUCCAAGGUGAAAAGCCUCUAGUCGAUAGAAUAAUGUAGGUAAGGGAAGUCGGCAAACUUGAUCCGUAACUUCGGGAAAAGGAUUGGCUCUAAGGGCUGCGCCGUAUCUGGGCGUGAGACGAAAUGGUGACUGGCUGAUUGGGGAGCGUUACUUUCGGGUGGCGUUCCCUGGCCGGCUGUCCUGUGGACUCUUGCGUUUUCUGAUUGGCGACAUGCAGCUUACUUAGAACUGGAGCGGACUCAGGGAAUCCGACUGUGUAAUUAAAACAGAGGAGGCAGAUGCUUCUCCUGAACGUCGACUGCCUCUGAUUUCUGCCCACUGCCUCGAUUGUUAAGUCUGGGCGAUGUAUUAUCAAGCUCGGGUUAACGGCGGGAGUAACUAUGACUCUCUUAAGGUAACCAUACGCCUCGUCAUUUAAUUGGUGACGUGCAUGAAUGGAUUAACGAGAUUCCUACUGUCCCUAUCUACUAUCUAGCGAAACCACUACCAAGGGAACGGGCUUGGCGAAAACAGCGGGGAAAGAAGACCCUGUUGAGCUUGACUUUAGUCUGAUAUUGUGAAGACUCUUGAAAGGUGUAGAAUAAGUGGGAGGCUUCGGUCGACCGUGAAAUACCACUACUUUCAUCGAUUCCUUACUUAUUCGGUUGUACGAGAAUACUUGUUGAUUCCUUCGACUUAAGUAUAGCCACUUGGUGGCAUUGCGACUCGCGCUGAAGACAGUAUCAGGCGGGAAGUUUGACUGGGGCGGUACAUCUGUCAAAUCGUAACGCAGGUGUCCUAAGGUUAGCUCAAAGAGGACGGAAACCUCUCGUAGAGCAAAAGGGCAAAAGCUAUCUUGAUCUUGAUUUUCAGUAUGAGUGCAGUCCGCGAAAGCGAGGCCUAUCGAUCCUUUUGGAGUAGAAAGUCUCUAGCAAGAGGUGUCAGAAAAGUUACCACAGGGAUAACUGGCUUGUGGCAGCCAAGCGUCCAUAGCGACG
rnacentral:rRNA from 1 species